GUGCCAGCAGCCGCGGUAAUACGAAGGGGGCUAGCGUUGUUCGGAAUUACUGGGCGUAAAGCGCGCGCAGGCGGCUAUCCAAGUCAGUGGUGAAAGCCCGGAGCUCAACUCCGGAAUUGCCAUUGAAACUGUUUAGCUCGAGUACGAGAGAGGUGAGUGGAAUUCCCAGUGUAGAGGUGAAAUUCGUAGAUAUUGGGAAGAACACCGGUGGCGAAGGCGGCUCACUGGCUCGUAACUGACGCUCAAGCGCGACAGCGUGGGGAUCAAACAGGAUUAGAAACCCCUGUAGUCC
rnacentral:rRNA from 1 species